UGCAUUAAGCUAACCAGUACUAAUUGCCCGUACGGCUUGUCCCUAUAACCUUAGCAGGU
rnacentral:rRNA from 1 species